AAAUACACACUCUUACAAGAGCCACACAUACAGACACUAGAUGCCUUGGUAGAAGGAUACGAUUAGUAGGAAACAUAAGGCUUCCUAGGAUCAUACAAAAAACAUUUUAAUACUUACAGUUCAUACACAUUUUCAAUACUUACAGUCGGUAUACAUACAAAUACUUACAUACAAAUUAAGACACUAAAAUACUUAUGAUCUAACCAGCUUUAAAGCUGAUACUCUCUUUCAAAAUAACUUGUAUCCUCAGGUCAACCAUAGACAGGUACCGAUGCAAGGUUUAGAGAGAUGAAGCUCNAGGUUUAGAGAAGAUGAAGCUCGUUCAAGACUCAUCUUUCCUUUUGUUUAUACUUUAGUGUCUAUUAUAAUUUGACAUAACACUUGUAUUAAAAUUAUAUUAUUAAUGCAAUAGAUGAUGUUGUUGCUUGUUUACUACUUUUCAUUUUUCUGAUAAUGUACAUGGCGUCCUCCGCCCCAGAACGUUUCCAUGGAUGACAGAAGGGUCAUUGGUUAACGUGGUGUAGUUACUUAUGGUAUCCAUGGAUGACAUAUGGGUUAUUGGUUAACAUGGUAGUUGCUUAUGGUGUCCAUGGAUGACAUAUGGGUCAUUGGUCAACAUGGUAGUUACAUAUGGUGUCCAUGGAUGACAUAUAGGUCAUUGGUCAACAUGUAAUUGCGUAUGGUGUCUGACAUAUGGGUAAUUAGUAAACUUGGUGUAAUUGCUUAUGGUGUCCAUGGAUGACAUAUGGGUCAUUGGUCAACUUGGUAGUUGCUUAUGGUGUCCAUGGAUGACAGAAGGGACAUUGGUUAACAUGGUGAAGUUACUUAUGGUGUCCAUGGAUGACAUAUGGGUUAUUGGUCAACAAGGUAGUUACUUAUGGUGUCCAUGGAUGAUAUAUGGGUCAUUUGUCAACAGUGUGUAGUUGCUUAUUGUGUCCAUGGAUGACAUAUGGG
rnacentral:lncRNA from 1 species